UGCGUAGGCGGUUCGUUAAGUCUGACGUGAAAUCCCCGGGCUCAACCUGGGAACUGCAUUCAAAACUGUCGAGCUAGAGUAUGGUAGAGGGUGGUGGAAUUUCCUGUGUAGCGGUGAAAUGCGUAGAUAUAGGAAGGAACACCAGUGGCGAAGGCGACCACCUGGACUGAUACUGACACUGAGGUGCGAAAGCGUGGGGAGCAAACAGGAUUAGAUACCCUCGUA
rnacentral:rRNA from 1 species